AUGAAACCUUCAAGGAGUAGGAGGAAAUUGUGGCCUGAAAUGGAGCUUAGGUACACUCAACAACUAUGGAUCCAUGGAGCUAGCCUGGGGCCAGCAAAAUUCAAUAGCCCAGAAAUGCACACAAUCCUGCAGCAGAUUUCUGUAAUCCCCCAGCUAAGGCAGAAUGUGAUUGCAACACCCCUCAUGCACAGCAUGAUACAACCAUGGACCAGAACCCUGAUUUUGCUGCUCAAAUGAUGGGGAAUAUGUUGAUUUUCAUGAGGACUGCCCUGCUUAGCCCCAGCUGAAGGAGCAGCUCAGCCUGCAGCUCCCUGUCUUUCCACAGCAGAGGCAGAACCAGGAGUCCUUCUCCAUCCUCACCAAUCCCUGCAUCUUGCAGGUCUUACUGAAGAUGCAGCAGGGUGGGCAGACUCUGGAGAGAGCAAGGCACCUUUGCACCUUGGCACCAGCCUUAGCUCCUUUGGGAGGUCAUAGAUCCUAGCACUACGGACAGACAGCAACUCUGGAACUACAACUGAGGCUCCACCUCCUCACCAGCCAUGCCAGCCACAUGUCCUCCCACAGGAACUCCCACUACUAAUAGCAGUUCAUGA